rnacentral:rRNA from 1 species
AUUGAACGCUGGCGGCAUGCCUUACACAUGCCAGUCGAACGGCAGCAUGAUCUAGCUUGCUAGAUUGAUGGCGAGUGGCGAACGGGUGAGUAAUACAUCGGAACGUGCCCUGUCGUGGGGGAUUACUAGUCGAAAGAUUAGCUAAUACCGCAUACGACCUGAGGGUGAAAGUGGGGGACCGCAAGGCCUCAUGCUCUAGGACCGGCCGAUGUCUGAUUAGCUAGUUGGUGAGGUAAAGGCUCACCAAGGCGACGAUCAGUAGCUGGUCUGAGAGGACGAUCAGCCACACUGGGACUGGGACACGGCCCAGACUCCUACGGGAGGCAGCAGUGGGGAAUUUUGGACAAUGGGCGAAAGCCUGAUCCAGCAAUGCCGCGUGUGUGAAGAAGGCCUUCGGGUUGUAAAGCACUUUUGUCCGGAAAGAAAUGGCUCUGGUUAAUACCUGGGGUCGAUGACGGUACCGGAAGAAUAAGGACCGGCUAACUACGUG